GAUGACCAAGUAGAAGGUUUUGUAUGUCAUGGGCUUGGCCGUGACGCCUUGGACCAGGCCGCAACGUUGAAUAUGUCGUCCAUGGCCUCUUGUGCCACCACCGCCAUUUCUGCCUCGCACUGCAUCAACCCCCUCCUUCACCAGCCACCGAUCAAACCCAUGAUGCUAGCUUCCUUGGAUUCUUCCGGUUCAAGUUCCUCACCGAAUCAUCCACCACAUGGAGAUGACUGCUAUCACGGUCAGACCAAGGGCUAUGUUCAGUGCGAUUCUUAGCAAGAUUUGUUUGUCUGAUGCAAAGGACGCACGUUAUAGGAACUACAACCGACGUGUGGGUGCAACUGUGGUUUUCUGGCCGUCCAUGUUGCACUUUUCCGCAAUGGCAGCACCCAGGAAGAUCCAAGACAGUCCAACUAGGGAUAUUUUAACAGUUUGAAAUAAGGAAUUGGAACUGCAGCAUCCUGAAAUACUUGACAAACUGCAUGAAGAAGCAUCAAGGACUUGCUCCCCAUGAAACAACUCCACAAUAUCAUUGUCACAUGCUGUUUUAUUUGCUAUGAGCAUAGGAUCCUUGCGAUUGACCCAGACGAAGUGACUUUAGCAAAGCUUGCCCUUUAC